AGAGUUUGAUCAAGGCUCAGGACGAACGCUGGCGGCGUGCCUAACACAUGCAAGUCGAACGGGGUGAGGCCCUUCGGGACCUUUACCUAGUGGCGAACGGGUGAGUAACGCGUGAGGAACCUGCCUUUCAGUGGGGGACAACAGUUGGAAACGACUGCUAAUACCGCAUGAAGCUUUUGGGAGACAUCUCCUGGAAGCCAAAGCUUAAUGUGCUGAAAGAUGGCCUCGCGUCUGAUUAGCUAGUUGGUGGGGUAACGGCCCACCAAGGCGACGAUCAGUAGCCGGUCUGAGAGGAUGAACGGCCACAUUGGGACUGAGAUACGGCCCAGACUCCUACGGGAGGCAGCAGUGGGGAAUAUUGGGCAAUGGGCGAAAGCCUGACCCAGCAACGCCGCGUGAAGGAAGAAGGCCUUCGGGUUGUAAACUUCUUUUACCAGGGACGAAGGACGUGACGGUACCUGGAGAAAAAGCAAUGGCUAACUACGUGCCAGCAGCCGCGGUAAUACGUAGGUUGCAAGCGUUGUCCGGAUUUACUGGGUGUAAAGGGCGUGUAGGCGGAGAUGCAAGUUAGGAGUGAAAUCUAUGGGCUCAACCCAUAAACUGCUUCUAAAACUGUAUCCCUUGAGUAUCGGAGAGGCAAGCGGAAUUCCUAGUGUAGCGGUGAAAUGCGUAGAUAUUAGGAGGAACACCAGUGGCGAAGGCGGCUUGCUGGACGACAACUGACGCUGAGGCGCGAAAGCGUGGGGAGCAAACAGGAUUAGAUACCCUGGUAGUCCACGCUGUAAACGAUGAAUACUAGGUGUGGGGGGACUGACCCCCUCCGUGCCGCAGUUAACACAAUAAGUAUUCCACCUGGGGAGUACGACCGCAAGGUUGAAACUCAAAGGAAUUGACGGGGGCCCGCACAAGCAGUGGAUUAUGUGGUUUAAUUCGACGCAACGCGAAGAACCUUACCAGGACUUGACAUCCAACUAACGAAGUAGAGAUACAUCAGGUGCCCUUCGGGGAAAGUUGAGACAGGUGGUGCAUGGUUGUCGUCAGCUCGUGUCGUGAGAUGUUGGGUUAAGUCCCGCAACGAGCGCAACCCCUAUUGUUAGUUGCUACGAAAGAGCACUCUAGCGAGACUGCCGUUGACAAAACGGAGGAAGGCGGGGACGACGUCAAAUCAUCAUGCCCCUUAUGUCCUGGGCUACACACGUAAUACAAUGGUGGCCGACAGAGGGAAGCGAAGCCGUGAGGCGGAGCAAAUCCCUAAAAGCCAUCUCAGUUCGGAUUGCAGGCUGCAACUCGCCUGCAUGAAGCUGGAAUUGCUAGUAAUCGCGGAUCAGCAUGCCGCGGUGAAUACGUUCCCGGGCCCUGUACACACCGCCCGUCACACCAUGAGAGUCGGGAACACCCGAAGUCCGUAGUCUAACCGCAAGGGGGGCGCGGCCGAAGGUGGGUCCGGUAAUUGGGGUGAAGUCGUAACAAGGUA
rnacentral:rRNA from 1 species